GAAUUCGAUUCAGGCCUAACACAUGCAAGUCGAACGAUGAAGCUGGAGCAUGCUCCGGCGGAUUAGUGGCGAACGGGUGAGUAACACGUGAGCAAUCUGCCCUUCACUCUGGGAUAACUGCGGGAAACUGUAGCUAAUACCGGAUACGAAGCCUUGGGGCAUCCCAGGGCUUGGAAAGAAUUUCGGUGAAGGAUGAGCUCGCGGCCUAUCAGCUAGUUGGUGAGGUAAUGGCUCACCAAGGCGACGACGGGUAGCCGGCCUGAGAGGCGGACCGGCCACACUGGGACUGAGACACGGCCCAGACUCCUACGGGAGGCAGCAGUGGGGAAUAUUGCACAAUGAAAGGAAGCCUGAUGCAGCAACGCCGCGUGAGGGAUCUUUAAAGGGGGGUUUAAACCUCUUUUAGUAGGGAAGAAGCGAAAGG
rnacentral:rRNA from 1 species